AGAGUUUGAUUCUGGCUCAGGAUGAACGCUAGCUACAGGCUUAACACAUGCAAGUCGAGGGGCAUCAGGAAUCUAGCUUGCUAGGUUGCUGGCGACCGGCGCACGGGUGAGUAACGCGUAUCCAACCUCCCCUAGCAGGGCAUAGCCCGGCGAAAGUCGGAUUAAUACCCUAUGUUAUCUGAAGAAGACAUCUGAAUUGGAUUAAAGAUUUAUCGCUAAGGGAUGGGGAUGCGUCCGAUUAGGUUGUUGGCGGGUAACGGCCCACCAAGCCUUCGAUCGGUAGGGGUUCUGAGAGGAAGGUCCCCCACACUGGUACUGAGACACGGACCAGACUCCUACGGGAGGCAGCAGUGAGGAAUAUUGGUCAAUGGGCGCGAGCCUGAACCAGCCAAGUAGCGUGCAAGGAUGACGGCCCUAUGGGUUGUAAACUGCUUUUAUGCGGGGAUAAAGUGCGCCACGUGUGGUGUUUUGUAGGUACCGCAUGAAUAAGGACCGGCUAAUUCCGUGCCAGCAGCUGC
rnacentral:rRNA from 1 species